rnacentral:rRNA from 1 species
AGCGUAAUGGUAAAUUGAGAAUCCGUGCAAGCGGCCCCUGACAAGACUACGUCAGUUCGAAGCUGGGAGCAAACAGGAUUAGAUACCUGGUAGUCCACGCCGUAAACGAUGUCGACUUGGAGGUUGUGCCCUGAGGCGUGGCUUCCGGAGCUAACGCGUUAAGUCGACCGCCUGGGGAGUACGGCCGCAAGGUUAAAACUCAAAUGAAUUGACGGGGGCCCGCACAAGCGGUGGAGCAUGUGGUUUAAUUCGAUGCAACGCGAAGAACCUUACCUGGUCUUGACAUCCACGGAAGUUUUCAGAGAUGAGAAUGUGCCUUCGGGAACCGUGAGACAGGUGCUGCAUGGCUGUCGUCAGCUCGUGUUGUGAAAUGUUGGGUUAAGUCCCGCAGCGAGCGCAACCCUUAUCCUUUGUUGCCAGCGGUCCGGCCGGGAACUCAAAGGAGACUGCCAGUGAUAAACUGGAGGAAGGUGGGGAUGACGUCAAGUCAUCAUGGCCCUUACGACCAGGGCUACACACGUGCUACAAUGGCGCAUACAAAGAGAAGCGACCUCGCGAGAGCAAGCGGACCUCAUAAAGUGCGUCGUAGUCCGGAUUGGAGUCUGCAACUCGACUCCAUGAAGUCGGAAUCGCUAGUAAUCGUGGAUCAGAAUGCCACGGUGAAUACGUCCCCGGGCCUUGUACACACCGCCCGUCACACCAUGGGAGUGGGUUGCAAAAGAAGUAGGUAGCUUAACCUUCGGGAGGGCGCUUACCACUUUGUGAUUCAUGACUGGGGUGAAGUCGUAACAAGGU